rnacentral:rRNA from 1 species
GAUGAACGCUGGCGGCGUGCCUAACACAUGCAAGUCGAGCGAACCUUUCGGGGUGAGCGGCGGACGGGUGAGUAACGCGUGGGUAACCUGCCCUAUACACACGGAUAACGUACCGAAAGGUACGCUAAUACGGGAUAAAGUUGUUGGAUGGCAUCUUCUAACAAUCAAAGCUCCGGCGGUAUAGGAUGGACCCGCGUCUGAUUAGCUAGUUGGUGAAGUAAUGGCUCACCAAGGCGACGAUCAGUAGCCGACCUGAGAGGGUGAUCGGCCACACUGGAACUGAGACACGGUCCAGACUCCUACGGGAGGCAGCAGUGGGGAAUAUUGCACAAUGGGCGAAAGCCUGAUGCAGCAACGCCGCGUGAGCGAUGAAGGUCUUCGGACCGUAAAGCUCUGUCCUCAAGGAAGAUAAUGACGGUACUUGAGGAGGAAGCCCCGGCUAACUACGUGCCGGCAGCCGCGGUAA